UACGGAGGGUGCAAGCGUUAUCCGGAUUCACUGGGCUUAAAGGGUGCGUAGGCGGAUUAGUACGUCAGUGGUGAAAUCUCUGGGCUUAACUCAGAAACUGCCAUUGAUACUAUUAGUCUUGAAUACCGUGGAGGUCAGCGGAAUAUGUCAUGUAGCGGUGAAAUGCUUAGAUAUCGUCCAGAACACCGAUAGCGAAGGCAGCUUACUAAGGAGUAACUGACGCUGAGGCACGAAAGUGUGGGGAUCAAACAGG
rnacentral:rRNA from 1 species